AACGAACGCUGGCGGCAUGCCUAACACAUGCAAGUCGAACGAACCAUUCGGGGCUAGUGGCGAACGGGUGAGGAACGCGGGGGAAGGAGCCCGUAGGUACGGAAUAACCCAUAGGAAAUAGUGCUAAUACCGAAUAGCUCCUUCGGUGGAUUGACUUAUGGCCAUUGGUUUGUCGCUGUUGGGUGGGCCCGCUUGGUAUUGGGAAGUUGGUGCGGUAACGGCUCACCAAGGCGACGAUCAGUGGCUGGUCUGAGAGGAUGAUCAGCCACACUGGGACUGAGACACGGCCCAGACUCCUACGGGAGGCAGCAGUGGGGAAUAUUGCACAAUGGGCGAAAGCCUGACGCAGCCAUGCCGCGUGAGUGAUGAAGGUCUUAGGGUUGUAAAGUUCUUUCACCAGGGACGAUAAUGACGGUACCCGGAGAAGAAGCCCCGGCUAACUUCGUG
rnacentral:rRNA from 1 species